rnacentral:tRNA from 2 species
GGGCAGGUGGUCGAGUGGUUAAUGGCACCAGACUGUAAAUCUGGCCGCGAGAGCGUACGAUGGUUCGAAUCCAUCUCUGCCCACCA